rnacentral:lncRNA from 1 species
CUUCCCGCCUCGGCCUCCCAGAGUGCUGAGAUUACAGAUGUGAACCCAUGCCAGGCCAGGAAUUUUGUUUUUUAGGAAGGCUUUCUACUAAUGGAAUUCCUGGCCUUGAGAGGAUAUUACUUUCGACGGAAAGGAUUUUUUUGUUAUUAAAAGCAGCUUAAAAUUGGUGCCUUAUUCAGACACAAGCAAAAGGACAUUAGCCCAGCUUUGGAAAUAGCUGGACCUACCAUGAAAGACUUCUGAAUCCAGGAAGAGAAACUGACUGGGCAACAUGUUAUUCAGAAACAGGACCUUGCCCUGUCACUCAGGAUGGAGUUCAAUGGUCCUAUCAUGGCUCAUUAUAGCCUUAAACUCCCAGGCUCAAGCAAUCCUACCAUGUCAGCCUUCCCAGUAGCUGGGACUACAGGAAGUGACCUCACAAUGACUCAAGCUACCACAUACUGUUGAUUGUGAAAUGCCAGUUGAAGCAUAUGUCCUGCGAGCUUAGGGGUGCUACAAGUUGACCACUGCAGCAGUAAAGAUGACUCUGAAGAAUGGCAUGGGAUGGAUCCUUUCGAAUGCACUUGAGCAGCGGUCUCCAACCACAGGGCCACAGAGCUGGAGCUGGAUCUACCAUGAAAGACUUCUGAAUCCAGGAAGAGAGACUGACUGGGCAACAUGUUAUUCAGGGUCUCCCUCUGUUGUCCAAGGCUGGAGUGUAGUAGUGCUA